AAUGAGCCAUUCAUGAUUUGGUUGGUAUCCAGAAAUAACUGAAAGGGUGAGGAAAUAAGAGAAAUUGCUGGAGGCUGCUAGCAUGAUGUAAUAAAACACUAUUGCAGUGGAUAUGCUGCUUCUAGCUGUGAUUCGUCUUGAGAUAAUCUGUCAUAUUACCUCCAAAAACAUAUAUAGAAGUCAAGUUGUUAUUACCUAAGAAGAAGAUCAACUGUUAUACGGGACUAUAUCAAGAAGGAAUCUCAGGAACACUGUAUUCCUGACCGAUCUUUAUGGAACAAAUGAACACAUCUCUCUUCACACAGUUGUUUGAGGUAUGAUCUCUGAUCAAGCCGUUGCUUCUUUUGAAGUUUUUUCAUAUACAUGAAAGCAAGCUUGACUA